rnacentral:rRNA from 1 species
UGCAGUCUAAGUAUAAGCAAUUGUACUGCGAAACUGCGAAUGGCUCAUUAAAUCAGUUAUCGUCUAUUUGAUAGUACCUUACUACUUGGAUAACCGUGGUAAUUCUAGAGCUAAUACAUGCUGAAAACCCCGACUUCGGAAGGGAUGUAUUUAUUAGAUUAAAAACCAAUGCCCUUCGGGGCUCCCUGGUGAUUCAUGAUAACUUCUCGAAUCGCACGGCCUUGCGCCGGCGAUGGUUCAUUCAAAUUUCUGCCCUAUCAACUUUCGACGGCUGGGUCUUGGCCAGCCGUGGUGACAACGGGUAACGGAGGGUUAGGGCUCGACCCCGGAGAAGGAGCCUGAGAAACGGCUACUACAUCCAAGGAAGGCAGCAGGCGCGCAAAUUACCCAAUCCCGACACGGGGAGGUAGUGACAAUAAAUACUGAUACAGGGCUCUUUUGGGUCUUGUAAUUGGAAUGAGUACAAUUUAAUUCCCUUAACGAGGAACAAUUGGAGGGCAAGUCUGGUGCCAGCAGCCGCGGUAAUUCCAGCUCCAAUAGCGUAUAUUAAAGUUGUUGCAGUUAAAAAGCUCGUAGUUGAACCUUGGGCCUGGCUGGCCGGUCCGCCUCACCGCGUGCACUGGUCCGGCCGGGCCUUUCCCUCUGGGGAGCCGCAUGCCCUUCAGUGGGCGUGUCGGGGAACCAGGACGUUUACUUUGAAAAAAUUAGAGUGUUCAAAGCAGGCUUAUGCUCGGAUACAUUAGCAUGGAAUAAUAGAAUAGGACGUGCGGUUCUAUUUUGUUGGUUUCUAGGACCGCCGUAAUGAUUAAUAGGGACAGUCGGGGGCAUCAGUAUUCAGUUGUCAGAGGUGAAAUUCUUGGAUUUACUGAAGACUAACUACUGCGAAAGCAUUUGCCAAGGAUGUUUUCAUUAAUCAGGAACGAAAGUUAGGGGAUCGAAGACGAUCAGAUACCGUCGUAGUCUUAACCAUAAACUAUGCCGACUAGGGAUCGGACGAUGUUAUUCUUUGACUCGUUCGGCACCUUACACGAAAGUACAAGUUUCUGGGU